AGCACCCUGCGCCAGCGGAGGCGGCGUUGCGUCAAUACUGGGCGCCGCGCGGACGUCGUAAUGUUGUGCAGUGGAUAAGAAUUCACCUGCUGAUGCAGGGGACACGGGUUCAAUCACUGGUCUGGCAAGAUUUCACAAGCCAAGGAGCAACUAAGCCCAUGUACCCCGACCACUGAGCCUGUGUGUUGCAGCUACUGAAGCCCACGUGCCUACAACCUGUGCUCCACAAGAGAAGCCACUGCGACGAGAAGCCCACACACAGCGAUGAAGAGCAGUCCCUGCUCACUGCAGCUACAGAAAGCCUGGGUUCUGACCAGUCUGGGAUCUCAGCCUAUAGCCA
ensembl:lncRNA